rnacentral:tRNA from 1 species
UCUCGAUUGGUCUAGUGGUCAGGAUACCUGCUUGUCAAAGGACAAUUCGCAGGUGGCCGGGGUUCGAUUCCCCGAUCGAGAG